rnacentral:rRNA from 1 species
AACGAACGCUGGCGGCAUGCCUAACACAUGCAAGUCGAACGGGAUCCUAGCUUGCUAGGUGAGAGUGGCGGACGGGUGAGUAACACGUGGGAAUCUGCCUUUUUGGUUCGGGAUAACCGCGGGAAACUGCGGCUAAUACCGAAUGCCCUCGAGAGAGGAAAGAUUUAUCGCCAGAAGAGGAGCCCGCGUCCGAUUAGGUAGUUGGUGGGGUAAAGGCCUACCAAGCCGACGAUCGGUAGCUGGUCUGAGAGGAUGAUCAGCCACACUGGGACUGAGAUACGGCCCAGACUCCUACGGGAGGCAGCAGUGGGAAUAUUGGACAAUGGGGCAACCCUGAUCCAGCAAUAGCCGCGUGAGUGAUGAAGGCC